GAUGAACGCUAGCGGCAGGCUUAAUACAUGCAAGUCGAGGGGGAUCAGUUGGGUAGCAAUACCUGGCUGUGAGACCGGCAAACGGGUGAGGAACACGUACGCAACUUUCCCAAAACUGGUGAAUAGCCCUCCGAAAGGAGGAUUAAUACACCGUAACAUAACGAAAUGGCAUCAUUUUGUUAUUAUAGCAGCAAUGCGGUUUUGGAUAGGCGUGCGCCUGAUUAGGUAGUUGGCGGGGUAACGGCCCACCAAGCCUACGAUCAGUAACUGGUGUGAGAGCACGACCAGUCACACGGGCACUGAGACACGGGCCCGACUCCAACGGGAGGCAGCAGUAAGGAAUAUUGGUCAAUGGACGAAAGUCUGAACCAGCCAUGCCGCGUGAAGGAUGAAGGUCCUCUGGAUUGUAAACUUCUUUUAUCUGGGACGAAAAAAGGGAAUUCUUUCUCACUUGACGGUACCAGAAGAAUAAGCACCGGCUAAACUCCGUGCCAGCAGCCGCGGUAAAGUA
rnacentral:rRNA from 1 species